ensembl:lncRNA
GAUUCACACUGUCCCGUGUCCCUCUCUCCUCCUCUUCUCUCUCCUCUCUUCCUCUCACUUUUCUCUCGUCCUCGCCCGUCUCUCACUUCGUUCUCUUCUUCCUCAGACACAGACAGAGAUGGAUCAGCCUCCUCCGUACGCUCCGGCUCCAGGCUUUGCCCCCGGUUUUCCAGGAUACCAGUCUUAUCCUCCUCAGCCCUUUUAUUACCAGGCCUCCUCUCCUCCUCCUCCAGCUCCUCCUGCUGCGUCCUGGGACACGCCCAAAAGCACAGUGUACCUGAUGAAGCCUGAUGACCGUUCUUCUGUCCCUGGGUUCAUUCCUGGUCUUGGUUCUGGUCUUGGUUCUGGUUUUGGGGGCGGGCUGAAGUCGUUUUUGGGGGCGUGUUCUGCGGCGUUGUGCUGCUGCUGCCUCUGGGACCUGCUCCACUGAUGAAACUAAAGCGUC